AGUCUGUAGGUGACUACAGAAGGAGGAGGAACUCCGUCUGUUCUCUCUUCAGGCAGUUGUUGUGUCUCUCAGCGCUUGUUGGUUUCACAACCUAUUAAAUAAGCCGGCUGGUCUUCACCCUCCCAGACAAGUCAACUCAGGGGAGGCAGCAGGGUGCGGGCCUUGGCCCGCAGCCCUAGCCGGGGCCGGGGCCAGGGCUGGUGCCCGGGGCCUCGCUGUGAGGUGGGCAGGCGAGGAGCGGGAAGACCAUCUCUGCAAGUGCAGCAUAGCCUCGGCCUAGGACAGCGGGAGUGCGUGGCCAAAGCUGUGAGCAGAGGCACAGGUGGUGGCAGACAGUAGAGGCGCCCCAUGGGGAACAUACUGACCUGUCGUGUGCACCCUAGCGUCAGCCUCGAGUUUGACCAGCAGCAGGGGUCGGUGUGUCCCUCUGAAUCUGAGACCUAUGAGGCAGGAGCUAGGGACAGGAUGGCAGGAGCGCCCAUGGCUGCUGCUGUACAGCCUGCUGAGGUGACUGUUGAAGUUGGUGAGGACCUCCACAUGCACCACGUUCGUGACCGGGAGAUGCCUGAAGCUUUGGAGUUUAACCUUUCUGCCAAUCCAGAGUCAAGCACAAUAUUCCAGAGGAACUCUCAAACAGAAGCUUUGGAGUUUAACCCUUCUGCCAAUCCAGAGGCAAGCACAAUAUUCCAGAGGAACUCUCAAACAGAUGUUGUAGAAAUAAGAAGAAGCAACUGUACAAACCAUGUAUCUGCUGUGCGUUUCAGUCAACAAUACAGCUUGUGUUCGACAAUAUUCCUUGAUGACAGCACAGCCAUCCAGCAUUAUCUUACAAUGACAAUAAUAUCGCACUGAGAAGCCUUUUAGGAAAAUCGGGAUGGAUGUGAGGCAUCUUUCUGUGAAGAAAAGCAUCCCAGAAGAUUCUGAUUUUCACCCCAGCUCAGUCAUUCCAAACUUUGCUGCUGAUUGAAAUCACCUGGGAAACGUUUACCAAGAACCUUGAUGCCCAAAGCCAUACCCAAUACUAAUUAAAUUAAAAUGUCUCAUGUUGAAGAUGAGGCAGAUAUUAAAGCUUCUCAGGCGAUUUUAAUGUGCAGCAAAGUUUGAGAGCCACUGCUUAAUUUGAGUUUAGGACGAGAAACUGCUCCUAUUUGGUGGGACCUUGGGCAAGUCAGUUUUAAGUGUGACCUUGGAGAUACCUCAUCAUAUCACACAAAGAGAUGCAGAUAGAACUUUGAGCAUACCUGAUGAACAGUUACACUCAUUUGCGGUUUCCACCGUGCACAUUAUGAAGAAAAGAAAUGGAGGUGGGAGUUUAAAUAACUAUUCCUCCUCCAUUCCAUCGACUCCCAGCACCAGCCAGGAGGACCCUCAGUUCAGUGUUCCUCCCACUGCCAACACACCCACGCCCGUUUGCAAGCGGUCCAUGCGCUGGUCCAACCUGUUUACAUCUGAGAAAGGGAGUGACCCAGACAAAGAGAGGAAAGCCCCGGAGAAUCAUGCUGACACCAUCGGGAGCGGUAGAGCCAUCCCCAUUAAACAGGGCAUGCUCUUAAAGCGAAGUGGGAAAUGGCUGAAGACAUGGAAAAAGAAAUACGUCACCCUGUGUUCCAAUGGCAUGCUCACCUAUUAUUCAAGCUUAGGUGAUUAUAUGAAGAAUAUUCAUAAAAAAGAGAUUGACCUUCAGACAUCUACCAUCAAAGUCCCAGGAAAGUGGCCAUCCCUAGCCACAUCGGCCUGCACACCCAUCUCCAGCUCUAAAAGCAAUGGCCUAUCCAAGGACAUGGACACCGGGCUGGGUGACUCCAUAUGCUUCAGCCCCAGUAUCUCCAGCACCACCAGCCCCAAGCUCAACCCGCCCCCCUCUCCUCAUGCUAAUAAAAAGAAACACCUAAAGAAGAAAAGCACCAACAACUUUAUGAUUGUGUCUGCCACUGGCCAAACGUGGCACUUUGAAGCCACGACGUAUGAGGAGCGGGAUGCCUGGGUCCAAGCCAUCCAGAGCCAGAUCCUGGCCAGCCUGCAGUCAUGCGAGAGCAGUAAAAGCAAGUCCCAGCUGACCAGCCAGAGCGAGGCCAUGGCCCUGCAGUCGAUCCAAAACAUGCGUGGGAACGCCCACUGUGUGGACUGUGAGACCCAGAAUCCUAAGUGGGCCAGUUUGAACUUGGGAGUCCUCAUGUGUAUUGAAUGCUCAGGUAUCCACCGCAGUCUUGGCCCCCACCUUUCCCGUGUGCGAUCUCUGGAGCUGGAUGACUGGCCAGUUGAGCUCAGGAAGGUUAUGUCAUCUAUUGUCAAUGACCUAGCCAACAGCAUCUGGGAAGGGAGCAGCCAGGGGCAGACAAAACCCUCAGAAAAGUCCACGAGGGAAGAGAAGGAACGGUGGAUCCGUUCCAAAUAUGAGGAGAAGCUCUUUCUGGCCCCACUACCCUGCACUGAGCUGUCCCUGGGCCAGCAGCUGCUGCGGGCCACCGCUGAUGAGGACCUGCAGACAGCCAUCCUGCUGCUGGCACAUGGCUCCUGUGAGGAGGUGAACGAGACCUGUGGGGAGGGAGACGGCUGCACGGCGCUCCAUCUGGCCUGCCGCAAGGGGAAUGUGGUCCUGGCGCAGCUCCUGAUCUGGUACGGGGUGGACGUCAUGGCCCGAGAUGCCCACGGGAACACAGCGCUGACCUACGCCCGGCAGGCCUCCAGCCAGGAGUGCAUCAACGUGCUUCUGCAGUACGGCUGCCCCGACGAGUGUGUGUAGUAUCUGUUUUAUUUGACUGCAGUCUCCUUGGUGCAAAAACAAAAUGGGAAAAAUAAGGAUAACUCAGAAUUUCAAAAGGAAAUCACAAAUUCAGCUAAUAUUAGCAUUUUCAGUACUUUUCGUAAACUAAGUAAAUACACAAAAUGUUGAUUUUUCUGACCAUAAGACGUAUUUUAUGUCCUUCUGCCAAGGUGGAUUUGUUAGUCUCAGGCCCUCCUGGCCACAUUGCCCAAGUCACACAGGCUUCUGUAUUAUGUAUUUAGAUAAAAUGUGUGAAAACAUAUUUGAAAUAAAGUUCAUAAAUAUGCAUUGA